GACGGGUGAGUAACGCGUGGGAACGUACCCUUCUCUGCGGAAUAGCCACUGGAAACGGUGAGUAAUACCGCAUACGCCCUUCGGGGGAAAGAUUUAUCGGAGAAGGAUCGGCCCGCGUUGGAUUAGGUAGUUGGUGGGGUAAUGGCCUACCAAGCCUACGAUCCAUAGCUGGUUUGAGAGGAUGAUCAGCCACACUGGGACUGAGACACGGCCCAGACUCCUACGGGAGGCAGCAGUGGGGAAUCUUAGACAAUGGGCGCAAGCCUGAUCUAGCCAUGCCGCGUGAGUGAAGAAGGCCUUAGGGUCGUAAAGCUCUUUCGCUGGGGAAGAUAAUGACUGUACCCAGUAAAGAAACCCCGGCUAACUCCGUGCCAGCAGCCGCGGUAAUACGGAGGGGGUUAGCGUUGUUCGGAAUUACUGGGCGUAAAGCGCGCGUAGGCGGAUCAGAAAGUUGGGGGUGAAAUCCCGGGGCUCAACCUCGGAACUGCCUCCAAAACUCCUGGUCUUGAGUUCGAGAGAGGUGAGUGGAAUUCCGAGUGUAGAGGUGAAAUUCGUAGAUAUUCGGAGGAACACCAGUGGCGAAGGCGGCUCACUGGCUCG
rnacentral:rRNA from 1 species